GGUGAGAUGGCCGAGUGGCUGAAGGCACUCCCCUGCUAAGGGAGUAUGUGGUUAACAGCUGCAUCGAGGGUUCAAAUCCCUCUCUCACCGCCA
rnacentral:tRNA from 1 species